rnacentral:rRNA from 1 species
GGAGAAAUCCGGAUUAAUACUCCAAAUGCUAUCGGACGGCAUCGUCUGAUAUCUAAAGCUCCGGCGGCUGAUGAUGAGCAUGCGUGACAUCAGUUAGUUGGUGAGGUAACGGCUCACCAAGACUACGAUGUCUAUGGGGUCUUAAAGGAUGAUCCCACACACUGGUACUGAGACACGGACCAGACUCCUACGGGAGGCAGCAGUGAGGAAUAUUGGUCAAUGGGCGAAAGCCUGAACCAGCCAUGCCGCGUGAAGGAUGACGGCCCUACGGGUUGUAAACUUCUUUUGUACGGAAAGAACAAAGGCUACGUGUAGCCUCUUGACGGUACCGUACGAAUAAGCAUCGGCUAACUCCGUGCCAGCAGCCGCGGUAAUACGGAGGAUGCAAGCGUUAUCCGGAUUUAUUAGGUUUAAAGGGUGCGUAGGCGGAGUUUUAAGUCAGUGGUGAAAUCUUGUGGCUCAACCAUGAAACUGCCAUUGAUACUAUUGCUCUUGAAUGUAGUUGAGGUAGGCGGAAUGUGUAGUGUAGCGGUGAAAUGCUUAGAUAUUACACAGAACACCAAUUGCGAAGGCAGCUUACUAGACUAUGAUUGACGCUGAGGCACGAAAGCGUGGGGAGCGAACAGGAUUAGAUACCCUGGUAGUCCACGCUGUAAACGAUGAUCACUGGUUGUUGGCGAUACACUGUCAGCGACUGAGCGAAAGCAUUAAGUGAUCCACCUGGGGAGUACGUCGGCAACGAUGAAACUCAAAGGAAUUGACGGGGGCCCGCACAAGCGGAGGAACAUGUGGUUUAAUUCGAUGAUACGCGAGGAACCUUACCUGGGCUUAAAUGUAGCAUGACUGCUGUCGAAAGAUAGUUUCCCUUCGGGGCAAGUUACAAGGUGCUGCAUGGCUGUCGUCAGCUCGUGCCGUGAGGUGUCGGGUUAAGUCCCAUAACGAGCGCAACCCUUAUCGUUAGUUACCAGCGCGUAAAGGCGGGGACUCUAACGAGACUGCCACCGUAAGGUGUGAGGAAGGUGGGGAUGACGUCAAGUCAGCACGGCCCUUACGUCCAGGGCUACACACGUGUUACAAUGGCCAGUACAAAGGGCAGCUACCAGGCGACUGGAUGCUAAUCUCCAAAACUGGUCUUAGUUCGGAUUGAAGUCUGCAACUCGACUUCAUGAAGUUGGAUUCGCUAGUAAUCGCGCAUCAGCCACGGCGCGGUGAAUACGUUCCCGGGCCUUGUACACACCGCCCGUCAAGCCAUGGAAGCUGGG